UGGGGAAUAUUGCGCAAUGGGGGGAACCCUGACGCAGCAACGCCGCGUGAAGGAUGAAGGCUUUCGGGUUGUAAACUUCUUUGAUGAGGGGACGAAAGAAAUGACGGUACCUCAAAAACAAGCCACGGCUAACUACGUGCCAGCAGCCGCGGUAAUACGUAGGUGGCGAGCGUUGUCCGGAAUUACUGGGUGUAAAGGGCGUGUAGGCGGGGAUGCAAGUCAGAUGUGAAAUGCCGGGGCUUAACUCCGGAGCUGCAUCUGAAACUGUGUUUCUUGAGUGUCGGAGAGGAAAGCGGAAUUCCCAGUGUAGCGGUGAAAUGCGUAGAUAUUGGGAGGAACACCAGUGGCGAAGGCGGCUUUCUGGACGAUAACUGACGCUGAGGCGCGAAAGCGUGGGGAGCAAACAGGAUUAGAUACCCUGGUAGUCCACGCUGUAAACGAUGGAUGCUAGGUGUAGGAGGUAUCGACCCCUUCUGUGCCGGAGUUAACACAAUAAGUAU
rnacentral:rRNA from 1 species